ACAGCAUUGUAAAGCAACUAACUAUACUCCAAUGAGAAUUGAUUUUAAAAAUAAAUAAAUAAUGCCGGCCUCUGGGCCCACAUCAGAAAUCAGAUUUGUUGAGACAAGGGUCAUACGGACAGCGAUGCUGCAAGUGUCCCUGCCCUGCGGAAACAGAAUGUUCUUUUUGAUGUUUACAAUGAGAGUACCAGAAAGAAAACUAGUUAAGGCUGAACAGUACAGAAAAGAGUUCUGGAUGCUCUCAAGGAACCGUGGUUUAUUUUUCUGAUGCCGUCAUCCUCCCAGUCGAUGUUUAAAGUGAUAAACGGUAAAGUCAUUCACUUAAGUUCAAGUGAAAGGAGACGACAUGAAGAUGGAAGCCAGUCCGACAUCACUGUGUGCGCAGGGUUUCCACCGGCUGCCGCUUCGGGGGAGACUGGUCCUGGCUCAGAGGCUCAGGCAAUUGAGAGCAGACCCACCGCCAACCCCGACAUCUCCUUACAGGCGGCAGCUGCCAAUUUGCAGCAUCUGAAACAUGACUCACACUCAUCACCACCCAGGAAGGCAGUGCUCUGGUCUGACUCAGUUUCCUCGUCUGUAAACUGAGAUGUUUACCUCACUUCCCCCUCCCUUGAAAGGAGAUCAUGCUUGGGAAGCCCUGCUCUACACAGUAAAGUUUUGAUCUUCAAAUUCUUUACAAAUAGGUUCAAGUGUGUACUUCUGCAGAGCGGCUCCUUUCCCUCAUUUCCCACUGUUGCUCUUUACCAAUACCCCCCAUACUGAAUAGGCUACUCCAGUAAAUAUACUCUUUGUUCCUAGACUGCAAACUUGCCACUAGACGCUCUUCAGUUUAGGUUUCAGUAUAGUUCAUGUUCAUCUCAGUGUGACAGUUCACAAGGAAUAGAAACAGUAAAGCACUGUACCUGCAACACAGACUCUGAGGUCAGACCAACAGAGCCCCACACUGGCUGCUCCACUUACAAGCUGUGUAACCUUAGUAAGGAUCAUUUUGACUUAAGCCUCAGUUUCUGCAUCUGUAAAUGGGGAUAGUAAUAUUACCCACUUGAGGGUUACCGUAAGGAAUGAAGGAAUCCGUUUUUCCUACCUGAUUCUCAAUCUAAGAAAACGCCUGUCUUAAUUCCAGAAAUAGUCUUUAAAAAUGCAUAGAGACAGCAAAGUCAGACACCAACUUUAGCGGAGGCUUUACAUGUCUGGGGAUGGAGGGGAUGGGAACAACAAGAGCUGGAAAUUGGUAGACAUCUUCCACCACAGUAUUUCCCCCUUAAAAAACUUUCAAGACUAUGGUAAAAUGUCAACAAUUACUAGAAUACGCCCACAUCAAUGUUUUAGUCACUCUUUACAGAAUUUGAGUAUAUUUAAAUCUCGAGUAUAAUAUCUUACGAAAAAUACAUUUAAGGCAAGCAAAAACGGAAAAGCAUGCACAAAACCUUUAGAUUUGGUCACUUGUGAAAAAAUGAACACCAACUCAUAAACUAUACAGAAAUUAUGUUUUUACCUAUUUUCCAAGGUUACAGUAUUACCGAUUUUCAGUUUAGGUUUAAUUCUGUCACUUCUAUAUUGUAGCUACAUAAGGAAAUGUGUAUGUGUUUUGAGCGACAGAUACUGAAGUACACUUCAGUACAGAAAGUGAAAAAAGAAGAAAGGAGGGAGGGAGGGAAGAAGGAAGCAAAGAAAAGCAAAUGUUGCAAAAAUCAUGAUCUGUAUUGAAUGCAAGUAACGGUUACAGUUGUUCAAUGUCCCUGGCUACACUUGAAACAUACAUAAUUAUUUUUCCUAAGUCUAAUAUUAGAAGCCUACAGAUAGAAUCCUGAAAGCGGUAAAGGAACAUAUUCACUGGGUGCUACAACCUUGAAGCAGCAGACUAAUAAUCCUUUUGUUAUAUGUUAUUUCUUUUUCACAGCAUCACAACGGCCGUUAUGUACCAGGGAAGAACCUGAGGCCCAGAGAGCGUUAGUAACUCACUUAAGGCCAAUCGCUGGGAGGCAACUGAGCUGAAAUACCCCAUCCAUGUCUCACUGUGAUGCCUGUGGCUGUCCAGGUCCCUUCACUGUCCCUCCUUCCUUGUGGACUGUCCCCUCCACUUCAGUUCAGGGACAACUUCUGUCUGCCAAGGGAAAUACGCCAGCCCCCUGGAGCUUUCCAACUUCCUACUCAAGCCCCUUCUGUCCCCACAGUCACUCCUCUUCUCUGGACCUCAGUGUCCUUUCCUCAACAUUUCCUCUUAGACUGCUUGAGGGAAUUAAAGGAAUAAAUGUGUCCAUGUACACCUACAAAACUUAGCACAGUCCCUGGAUAUAGGAAGUGCUAAAUAAAUAAUCACUGCUGUACUGGUGAUUAGGUACUAGUUAGCCCAGUAACUGCUCGCCACUCGAAAGUUUUUCCCCAUGAAGUGUCUCAGUGACUAACUUUAAUUGGAGAGUAAUCGUAUCUAGACAGGAAGUUUACUGAGGAAUUCACACAACCAUCUCAUUUGUUCCUCAUGGCCCUAGAAAACUAGGGUAUUUUCUUCCCGAAGAAAAGCACGAACUAUAAAAAGCAGAUAUUUCUGUUGUGUGUGAGUUUUGUGUGUGUCUGUGUGUGUGUGCGCCCAUGAUAGUUUUCAAAAGGUCAUUUCAUUUUUUUAUCAACUAGAUUCUGCAGAAACUAAGAGAAAGAUUAUAUGAAAAACUACUGCUAAGACAUCACGAUUUGUGUAAUUCAGCAAAUUCUAACCGGACUGAUCUAGAUGUCUGCCUAUGGAAUAUGUGCCCAGAGAAAACAGGUGCCCCUGCUUGGGAGAUGUAUGCUGGAUAAACUGUUUGGAAUUUGAAGAUACUCAGAUGUGGUAUUUGGAAAACAGCUCUUCAGAAUUAAGAUGAGGAAGCUAAAGGUCAGCAAAGCUAAGUAUCCCAGAGCCAGUACUGGAACCCAGGCCCUCUGACUGCACAGUUCCCAUCCUGAAGCUUUCCAGUAGAUGCCUUCAGAACACAGAAUGAGAACCGUCAAUACAGGCUGCAAUGGCUGGUCGGCCAAGGUGACACGGAGAAGACUGUCUUCAGCUCCGGCAGAGCGACGGUAGGAUAUGGAUACAUGAGAAGGGCACGGACAGAGUGAAUAUUUACCCAGGGCUUUCGGUGGACCAGGAAUGGUGCCUGCUGCUGGGGAUAAAACAGUGGACAAAAUAGGGAGAGGAAGACAUUAAUCAAAUAAUCCUAAUACAUAAUAACUACAAACUGUGCUUGGAGAUGAUUUCGUGCCAGGGAUCAAAGGCAACCCUGAAGAAAUGAGAUCCCGAGUGGCUCUCCAAAGGACACCGAGGUCACACAGCAGCUUUGCGGAAGCAGCCCAGGAACUGGGGAAGCUUCUAGCCCUGAGGGUCUUCCCCACUCGUCCCUAUGGAGGAUGCUGGGGGCAGUGAUUCAAGUGCCAUGCGCGGAAUUCCACUGGGAGCCUGAGUGAUGAGUAGCUGACAGAGCACUGCCUCCGCCCUCUCCCCUCUCCCCUCCCCCUGGGACUCUGCCUCCGGUCUCCCUUCCCCUCCAAGUGCCUGGGGGACGGGGUUGCUCUCAUCCUGCCCCUCCCAUCUGAGUACCUGGGGCAGGGUUUAUGAUGGUGAGACACCGCAGCAGGGCUGGUACGGGGGAAGUAAUAACGGGACCCCUGCACAGGACGGUGGAAGCCUGCUCCCCCGCUCCACCCAUCCCCCCAGCUCCUUCCCAAGGAAAACAUCCAGGGCCUGGGGUUUCUGAGCUCACAAACAGCCCAACGAUGGGAAGCCAGCUGCUUUCAAAAAGAAACAACACAAGUACUCUUUAUUUUAUACGACCUUUUCCAUUUCCGGAAAAAAAAAAAAAAAAGUAGCGUAUUACAGACAACAGCUGCUUCAAGUUAAUAAAAUCUAAAUUCUCUUUGCUUGAAAACUGAUCACUAGUUGUAAGUUACGAAGCUGGAUUUCUGGGAUGAUUGCUCAUCUUGUGAUGUAAGUCCUUCCUUCUUGUGGUUGUUAAAAUCUUGAGUGUAUGGUUAUUCUUUAUUCUUAAUUUAGGUCAAUAGUGACAUUUAAAAUCUAAAGCUUCAAAUUAAAAACUAUGCAAGCAAACUAAUGGGAGUAAAUAAAAGUAAUUACACAUGUGGAAUGUAUCUCAGCAUUUUAAUCAAUCUCUUUGGCUGUUUUCUUCCAUUUAAUAUUUAAAUGUCAUAUCUUAUGUCUGAAGAUUAACAUUACAUUUCUGAAGAAUAUUUAAAUAUACGAGGGACUAUGCUGUCACAAUGAUUGGAAAAGGCAGGCAAUUUAAUAAGGCUAUAAAACACUGUUUCAAAUCAUUUAACUAACUCUAUGAGCAGUGAGUUUUAGAACAUAAAUACCAUUUAGUUCAACUUGUGUCUUACAAGGAGAGAAGCAAAAAUAAGAAAAUUCACGAAGUGGUUUAAUUUCAACGGUUUUUUUCCUCUGCAUAAAAAUCAAAGAGUAGAAGACACACCAAAAUAUUAUCUCCAGUUGGUGGGAUCUCACUGUCACAUAUUUUUCCGUAUGUUCUAUAAAAUGAAAAUACAUUACUUUCAUAAUUUGAAAAAAGUUUGUAUCUUUAAUACGUGCUUUUUGUCUUUAGGACGAAUGAAAUCAAGCACAGAAACUCUGUUUUCGAAAACAGCUCUCUGUAAUGUACUUGCUAUUUUUAAAUAAUAAAAAUAAAAUCCAUGGCUAGCUGUCUACAGAGGAGCAAAGUUCCCUGGGCAUGCGAAAACACAACCAACCAACCCCAAACCCUCCAGGAACAUAUCUGGAAAGCUAGCAGGCAAACAAUUUUUUUUAAAAAAG